GACGAACGCUGGCGGCGUGCUUAACACAUGCAAGUCGAACGGAAAGGCCCUGCUUUUGUGGGGUGCUCGAGUGGCGAACGGGUGAGUAACACGUGAGUAACCUGCCCUUGACUUUGGGAUAACUUCAGGAAACUGGGGCUAAUACCGGAUAGGAGCUCCUGCUGCAUGGUGGGGGUUGGAAAGUUUCGGCGGUUGGGGAUGGACUCGCGGCUUAUCAGCUUGUUGGUGGGGUAGUGGCUUACCAAGGCUUUGACGGGUAGCCGGCCUGAGAGGGUGACCGGCCACAUUGGGACUGGAAUACGGCCCAGACUCCUACGGGAGGCAGCAGUGGGGAAUAUUGCACAAUGGGCGGAAGCCUGAUGCAGCAACGCCGCGUGCGGGAUGACGUCCUUCGGGUUGUAAACCGCUUUCGCCUGUGACGAAGCGUGAGUGACGGUAAUGGGUAAAGAAGCACCGGCUAACUACGUG
rnacentral:rRNA from 1 species